rnacentral:lncRNA from 1 species
GGGAAGGGGCAGGACAGGUGAAGUUUACCACAGGAGCCAAGGCCUUGAACCCACCAGCAAGGGUUCUUGCUGGAACUCGCAGUAUCUCAUCAUGGUUAGAUGGUGAGAUCUCGCCUGAGGAGAGUGGGGUGGCAGCAGGAGACAGCUCACAAAAGGAACUCCACAAUGUUUGUUUCUGAUGCUCCUGGGGCUGUUGAAGCAUCAAAGUGGAUUUUCCUUUAUAACUUCCAGCUAAGCUCUUCCUUGUGCUCCAAAGAGCUCAUGGAUGACACCCCCACCUCCAACUUGUUUUGAAAAAGUAUCAGAUUUGUUCCUGUGGUCCUCCGCUGCCUGUUUGUGUCCUGCUCAUCUUAAUGCCUGUUAUGAAUUAGUUUCUCAAGAAACAAUUGAAAUGGCACUGAUCUGUCCAGAGUUAUUCCUCCUCCCUACAACUGGUAGGAUCCAUGACCGUCCAGGAGUGUUGACAAGCAGGGAAAGCAGAGGGAUCGCUGACACCCAAGGCCGACAGACCAUCAUGCAGGUCAGCGCCAGUCAGCAUGGAUAA